rnacentral:rRNA from 1 species
ACAUGCAAGUCGAGCGCGGGAAGCAGAUGGAAUCCUUCGGGAGGAAAUCUGUGGAACGAGCGGCGGACGGGUGAGUAACACGUGGGUAACCUGCCUGUAAGACUGGGAUAACUCGCGGAAACGUGAGCUAAUACCGGAUGAAACUUCUUAUCACCUGAUGAGAAGAUGAAAGGCGGCUUCGGCUGCCACUUACAGAUGGACCCGCGGCGCAUUAGCUAGUUGGUGAGAUAAUGGCUCACCAAGGCGACGAUGCGUAGCCGACCUGAGAGGGUGAUCGGCCACACUGGGACUGAGACACGGCCCAGACUCCUACGGGAGGCAGCAGUAGGGAAUCUUCCGCAAUGGACGAAAGUCUGACGGAGCAACGCCGCGUGAGUGAUGAAGGUUUUCGGAUCGUAAAACUCUGUUGUUAGGGAAGAACAAGUACCGUUCGAAUAGGGCGGUACCUUGACGGUACUUAACCAGAAAGCCCCGGCUAACUACGUGCCAGCAGCCGCGGUAAUACGUAGGGGGCAAGCGUUGUCCGGAAUUAUUGGGCGUAAAGCGCUCGCAGGCGGCCUUUUAAGUCUGAUGUGAAAGCCCACGGCUCAACCGUGGAGGGUCAUUGGAAACUGAAGGGCUUGAGUACAGAAGAGGAGAGUGGAAUUCCACGUGUAGCGGUGAAAUGCGUAGAUAUGUGGAGGAACACCAGUGGCGAAGGCGACUCUCUGGUCUGUAACUGACGCUGAGGAGCGAAAGCGUGGGGAGCGAACAGGAUUAGAUACCCUGGUAGUCCACGCCGUAAACGAUGAGUGCUAGGUGUUAAGGGGUUUCCGCCCCUUAGUGCUGAAGUUAACGCAUUAAGCACUCCGCCUGGGGAGUACGGCCGCAAGGCUGAAACUCAAAAGAAUUGACGGGGGCCCGCACAAGCGGUGGAGCAUGUGGUUUAAUUCGAAGCAACGCGAAGAACCUUACCAGGUCUUGACAUCCUCUGCUAGCGGUAGAGAUACCGUGUUCCCUUCGGGGACAGAGUGACAGGUGGUGCAUGGUUGUCGUCAGCUCGUGUCGUGAGAUGUUGGGUUAAGUCCCGUAACGAGCGCAACCCUUGAUCUUAGUUGCCAGCAUUUAGUUGGGCACUCUAAGGUGACUGCCGGUGACAAACCGGA